CCUACGGGAGGCAGCAGUGAGGAAUAUUGGUCAAUGGGCGGAAGCCUGAACCAGCCAAGUCGCGUGAGGGAAGACGGUCCUACGGAUUGUAAACCUCUUUUGCCGAGGAACAACGUGAUCCUUGCGAGGGCCCAAUGAGAGUCCCCGGAGAAAAAGCAUCGGCUAACUCCGUGCCAGCAGCCGCGGUAAUACGGGGGAUGCGAGCGUUAUCCGGAUUUAUUGGGUUUAAAGGGUGCGUAGGCGGGCUGUUAAGUCAGCGUUCAAAUGUCGGGGCUCAACCCCGGCCUGCCGUUGAAACUGGCGGCCUUGAGUGGGCGAGAAGUAUGCGGAAUGCGUGGUGUAGCGGUGAAAUGCAUAGAUAUCACGCAGAACUCCGAUUGCGAAGGCAGCAUACCGGCGGCCUACUGACGCUGAGGCACGAAAGCGUGGGUAUCGAACAGGAUUAGAUACCCUUGUAGUC
rnacentral:rRNA from 1 species